rnacentral:rRNA from 1 species
AAUUCGAUUAGAGUUUGAUCCUGGCUCAGAUUGAACGCUGGCGGCAUGCCUUACACAUGCAAGUCGAACGGCAGCACGGGAGCUUGCUCCUGGUGGCGAGUGGCGAACGGGUGAGUAAUACAUCGGAACGUACCCAGGAGUGGGGGAUAACGUAGCGAAAGUUACGCUAAUACCGCAUAUUCUGUGAGCAGGAAAGCGGGGGAUCGCAAGACCUCGCGCUCUUGGAGCGGCCGAUGUCGGAUUAGCUAGUUGGUGAGGUAAAAGCUCACCAAGGCGACGAUCCGUAGCAGGUCUGAGAGGAUGAUCUGCCACACUGGGACUGAGACACGGCCCAGACUCCUACGGGAGGCAGCAGUGGGGAAUUUUGGACAAUGGGGGCAACCCUGAUCCAGCCAUGCCGCGUGAGUGAAGAAGGCCUUCGGGUUGUAAAGCUCUUUCGGCGGGGAAGAAAUGGCAACGGCUAAUAUCCGUUGUUGAUAACGGUACCCGCAUAAGAAGCACCGGCUAACUACGUGCCAGCAGCCGCGGUAAUACGUAGGGUGCGAGCGUUAAUCGGAAUUACUGGGCGUAAAGCGUGCGCAGGCGGUUUCGUAAGACAGACGUGAAAUCCCCGGGCUCAACCUGGGAACUGCGUUUGUGACUGCGAGGCUAGAGUACGGCAGAGGGGGGUAGAAUUCCACGUGUAGCAGUGAAAUGCGUAGAGAUGUGGAGGAAUACCGAUGGCGAAGGCAG